AAAAGAAAGAUGUAUUAUGAGAGAGAGGGAGUGAGAGAGUGAGAGGAAGAGGAAGAAACAGAAGCGGUGGUUGAGAUUCUUGACGUUAGAUCGUUCUUCCACCUCAAAACGAUCCAAGAGGACAGGCCACACAGUUAGACAAAUAGACAGACAGAAAGACAGACAAGAAGACAGGUAGAGAGAGACAGAUAAAGACUUGAUAAGCCACCACGAACUAGAAUUUUGUGAACUAACAUUCUGUAUAGGCUUUCUUUACAACAUAGCAAAAGUAAAACAACAAAAACAGAACGAAAAAGACGACGAUGACAUAGUGAAGAAACGAGAGAAAAAGAGAGAAAAACGAACAAGAAAUUAAAGAUAUAACCCCAAACAAGACAAGGCUAUAUAUAUUCGGACAUGUGUGUAUAUAUACAUGCAUACACAUAAAUUCAAACCAAUAAAACGUAUGUGUGUAUAUAUAUAGAUAUAUAUAUGUAUAUAUGUAAAUAGCAAUUUAGACUAAAGAAAAAUCUAUAUUAUUAUUAUAAAAUAUAUUAUAAAAAUAUUAAAUACGCGGUAAGACUGUGACAGUGAGAGACAGAAAGACAGACUUAUAUAUAUAUAUACACAUAUAUAAAUAUAUAUAUAUAUAUAUAUAUAUAUAUAUAUAUAAAUAAUAUAUCAAGAUAGAUUUCCUGUUUCAACACAAGAAAGAUAAUAGCCAGCGUUAUAAGACUGGCAUAGAAACAACGUUUACACGAGCAAUUGAAAUAAGAACCAACCAUGAGACUGCUAAUAAGUCUCGCGAUAAUCUCGCUGGUAGUGAUGGUAUGUUGCAGUCAUCCCAUGGAAAUGAGAAAAAAGAAAGACGGCGAUGAGAAGGCAAUGCCACUCAAUACUGACAGAAACAGCCACGCAGAGAAAAGAGCCAAAGAGGUGUUGAUGUUUGGCAACCAACAGAACUCGCCCAGAGUGAAAAAAUCCGACCCCAAACCAGAUAAGGAGGUGCCUCUUACUGGCCUGAAUAGUGACGAAGACAGCAAGGAA